rnacentral:rRNA from 1 species
GACGAACGCUGGCGGCGUGCUUAACACAUGCAAGUCGAACGGAAAGACCCUGCUCUUGUGGGGUGCUCGAGUGGCGAACGGGUGAGUAACACGUGAGUAACCUGCCCUUGACUUUGGGAUAACUUCAGGAAACUGGGGCUAAUACCGGAUAGGAGCUCCUGCUGCAUGGGGGGGGUUGGAAAGUUUCGGCGGUUGGGGCUGGACUCGCGGCUUAUCAGCUUGUUGGGGGGGUAGUGGCUUACCAGGGCUUUGACGGGUAGCCGGCCUGGGAGGGUGACCGGCCACAUUGGGCCUGCGAUACGCACCAGUAUCCUACGGGAGGCAGCAGUGGGGAAUAUUGCGCAAUGGGCGGAAGCCUGAUGCAGCAGCGCCGCGUGCGGGAUGACGGCCUUCGGGUUGUAAACCGCUUUCGCCUGUGACGAAGCGUGAGUGACGGUAAUGGGUAAAGAAGCACCGGCUAACUACGUG